AUGGACGCUGAGGAGUCGGACCAGGACGAAGGGGAGGCGGAGUUCUCUCUGGCCGGAGAGCCGGUCCCCGGAAAUUUGUCCAUCACAGAGGAAAUCCUGGAACUGCUCAGCCAACGGGGCCUGGAUGGCGAGUCGGGAAAAGACGGGCCAAUUUUGGGAGAAGAGAGGGCAGAGGAUCCGCUCCUGAGAAGCAAUCCGUUGGAGGAGCUGGAGGAGAAGGCAGAAGAGGAGGCGGUGGAAGAGCUUGGAACGGAGGGGGAAGAGGCCCCCCAGAGAGACCCGGUCCAGGAACAGCCGCCUCCGAUGCCUCGUCAUCCCUUCACCUGCGACUCCUCCGAGGAAGAGGAGCAAAGGGGGGAAUCCGCCGGUCCGUCUCCUCUCCACGUCUUGGAGAACUUGGAGGACUCCUGCAGGAAGCCAGGAGAGGGGGGCAGUGCUGGCUGCGUGGGGCAGGCGGCGGCGGGUGCGAGAAGCCCGCCCCCUGAGGAUCCCGGCCAAUCGAAUCAGCCGGCGCCAUGCGCCCAAAGCUGCCUGCAGGCGGAGGGCGGAGCCAUGCGUGACUCCACCUUAACGAAGGAUGACUGGCUGCUGAUUGAGAAAAUCAAGAGCUACUACGAAGGGACGGAGGCUAUGAACAAGGUGCCGGGUUCGAGAAAGGUGGAGGGCGCCCUUCCUGUGCCUGCCGGCGUGGUGCGCGAGUCCGUCCUUCGCUUCAACAGCAUCCUGCGGCAGAACGAUGCCCGGGACGCGGAAGUGGGCGGGGGCAAGCUGGGCAAGCUCCGCCCACAACUGGGUACCGGCGGCCACGGGAGUCCCCGCAGGAGCAGGAGCCAAUCGUGUAACGCCCAGCCGCCCUUCUGCCAAUGGGAUUCAGGCGAGGGGAGGAGCCACCUGCCCGCAAGCCCCAGACAUUCCAAGAGGGGGAGGAGCCGCUCCGACGGUGGCCAAUCGCCAGCCGGCUCUGAAGAUUCCGCCGGCGGCGAGGCCCAAUCGCCUCGGGCCUGCUGUGAGGAUUCCGAGAAGGGGCGGAGUCCAUCUGGGAGAACGCAUAACGUUUCUGGAAGUGGGUGCGGCUUGGAGGAGGAGGAGGAGCCUACAGGACCCGAGUUCAAAUCCUGUGCAGAGAUCCGGAGAGCUUGGCAGGAGAAGGAGCGGAGUGCUCUGGACCUCCUGAAGAAAGGGGGCAAGGAAGCAGGCAGAGGGUUGCCCUCCGCCCUGGAGACGCCGGUUUACGCCGAACCCUUGUGCAUCGUGGAGGAUUCGGACUUGGAGGAACUGCACUUGGGACCGAGCAGAGACCCGGAGGAGGAAGCCCACGGUCCCGGGGCGAAGGAGAGGCAGGCGGCUUUCGUGGGCAAUGGAUCCCGGGGCUACCUGCCCGCCCUGGACCUCUACGAGAGCAACGGGGAGCCGUGUCUGUUGGAGAACUCGGAGCGCAUCAGCAGCAAGGUGCAAGCCUUGGCCAAAAUGUACAGCGAGAAAAUCAGCCGCCUGAAAGCCCAGGGCCGGGGGCCUGGAGAGGCCCCGGGCCCCCCACCACCGGAGGACCCUCAGCAGGAGCCUGGCCGGGGUGCAGGAGGGGAAGCAAGGAGCCGCCAUCCCCCACUGCGAGCCCCGAAUCUACGGCCACGUCCUCAUCCACGAGCCCCUGCACCACGUGGUCCGAGUCCAGGAGAACACGUUGCUUGCGGCCGCCACCCGGGGGACAGCCCUGGAGCUGCGUGCUGA
ensembl:lncRNA